rnacentral:rRNA from 1 species
AUGGUCAUGAUUGAAACAUAUCAAGUCGCAGACAACGAGACUCUUGCUAGCCUGUGGGAGAAGCGAACGUACUGGGUGCCGGCCUACUUCAUGCAGUGCUUCUUCCCGUUUCUGCAGACUACGCAAUGCAGCGAGGGGUUCAAUGCUGUUUUGAAGCGGUACGUGAGCCCUGGAAACUCAUUGCUACAGUUUGCCAAGCAGUACACAGCUUUGCAACAAAAAAUACUGGGAUCUGAGCUACAGCAAGAAGCGAACACCGCGCUAAAGCAACCAAAAUUAUUAGCGUAUUUACCGAUGGAGAGGCAAAUGAGCAAGAUAUACACCAACAAGAUCUUUAACAAGUGCAACAAAACUUGCUAUUUCAUAAGGCGGCGAUAG